CUCAACUGUAGUAAUUCAGUGCAGGGGAAUUUCCACAUUACCAGAUGUAAACUGUUCUUGUAUGAUCUACUUGCUUAUUUUACUUUAAAGUUCAAUUUACGGGAAUUCAUGUUCUAAUACGUUUUCUAAAGGACAAAGGUGAGCUUUGCUGGUGAAAGUUUAGCAGAGUUUUAAAUAUUUAAAAUUUACAAAUAAACCUAGGAAAAUACAAAGUGGCAUUUUUUUUUUGAAGUCUCGCAUACCCAUAAUUGUGGAGAAAACUUCUUACCAUCGUUUUUAGGUGCUUUUUCAGAACAUUUCUCUGGAGAAGCUUGCUCAACUUGAGUUCCAGUGGCGGGAUCUAGUGUUGCAUAAAACUUGUAAUUUAAAACUGUGAAUACACUGCAUCUUUCUGUUUCCAUUUGUAGGAAACCAGCUCUGUCCAUGUUUUCUUUGCCUCAACUGUCCAUUUGCAUCUCACCUUCCCCGGCACCUGGAGAAGAUCAUAACAGUACCUGAAGAAGAUCAGAGCAGAGCCUGGAGAAGAUCAGGACAGAGCCAGACACAUGUCAUAUUACCACUCGGAGAUCUGAGAGACCUCUGAAUUAGGAAACCUACCACUUCAUUUGUUCUCCACCUUCACUACAGUGUGAUGCACACCAGCCCUUCAGCUUUUCUUCUUGCUGUGUGACCUCAUGGAUAUAUAAUUCUCAUGGUUCAAAACCAUAUAAAAAAAAAGUAGUUUGAAAGGGUUCACUACCACAGGUUUGGGUUAACCUUGAUCAUUUCAGUGCAACAGUGGGAUUAGAAACAUAGAGAUUUAUGGAAAGAUCCAAGACCCCUCAAAGCUUCUGGCUUGGAGCUAUCUGUUAUUUGAAGGGAAGCCUGAAGAAGAGGAGGGACCUCGUACCAAAUCCCCCCCUGCAUCACUCAGGAAAAAAGGCUCAUAGAAAUCUUCAAGAGCCAAACGGUGAAGUGG